rnacentral:rRNA from 1 species
CCUACGGGUGACAGCAGUCGGGAAUAUUGCGCAAUGGAGGAAACUUUGACGCAGUGACGCCGCGUAUAGGAAGAAGGUUUUCGGAUUGUAAACUAUUGUCGUUAGGGAAGAUAAAAGACAGUACCUAAGGAGGAAGCCCCGGCUAACUAUGUGCAAGCAGCCGCGGGAAUACAUAGGGGGCAAGCGUUAUCCGGAAUUAUUGGGUGUAAAGGGUGCGUAGGCGUAAGAAGGAGUUGGUUGUGAAAUCCCUCGGCUCAACUGAGGAACUGCAACCAAAACUAGUCUCCUAGAGUGUCGGAGAGGAAAGUGGAAUUCCAAGUGUAGCGGUGAAAUGCGUAGAUAUAUGGAGGAACACCAGAGGCGAAGGCGACUUUCUGGACGAUAACUGACGCUGAGGCACGAAAGUGUGGGGAGCAAACAGGAUUAGAUACCCCUGUAGUC